CGGAGGGAAACCGAGUCUUAAUUGGGCGUUAAGUUGCAGGGUAUAGACCCGAAACCCGGUGAUCUAGCCAUGGGCAGGUUGAAGGUUGGGUAACACUAACUGGAGGACCGAACCGACUAAUGUUGAAAAAUUAGCGGAUGACCUGUGGCUGGGGGUGAAAGGCCAAUCAAACCGGGAGAUAGCUGGUUCUCCCCGAAAGCUAUUUAGGUAGCGCCUCGUGAAUUCAUCUCCGGGGGUAGAGCACUGUUUCGGCUAGGGGGCCAUCCCGGCUUACCAACCCGAUGCAAACUGCGAAUACCGGAGAAUGUUAUCACGGGAGACACACGGCGGGUGCUAACGUCCGUCGUGAAGAGGGAAACAACCCAGACCGCCAGCUAAGGUCCCAAAGUCAUGGUUAAGUGGGAAACGAUGUGGGAAGGCCCAGACAGCCAGGAUGUUGGCUUAGAAGCAGCCAUCAUUUAAAGAAAGCGUAAUAGCUCACUGGUCGAGUCGGCCUGCGCGGAAGAUGUAACGGGGCUAAACCAUGCACCGAA
rnacentral:rRNA from 1 species